rnacentral:rRNA from 1 species
GAUGAACGCUGGCGGCGUGCCUAAUACAUGCAAGUCGAGCGAACGGACGAGAAGCUUGCUCGUCUGAGGUUAGCGGCGGACGGGAGAGUAACACGUGGAUAACCUACCUAUAAGACAGGGAUAACUUCGGGAAACCGGAGCUAAGACCGGAUAAUAUUUUGAACCGCAUGGUUCAAAAGUGAAAGACGGUCUUGCUGUCACUUAUAGAUGGAUCCGCGCUGCAUUAGCUAGUUGGUAAGGUAACGGCUUGCCAAGGCAACGAUGCAUAGCCGACCUGAGAGGGUCAUCCGCCACCUUGGAACUGAGACACGGUCCAGACUCCUACGGUAGGCAGCGGUAGGGACUCUUCCGCAAUGGGCGAAAGCCUGACGGUGCGACGCCGCGUGAGUGAUGAAGGACUUCGGAUCGUAAAACUCUGUUAUUAGUGGAGAACAAAUGUGUAAGUAACUGUGCACAUCUUGACGGUACCUAAUCAGAAAGCCACGGCUAACUACGUG